rnacentral:rRNA from 1 species
AUGCUGUCGUCGUCUUCUUUGCCCAGCGGCCGCCGCCGCACCGCAUGCUCGUGUGCAGGGGCGAGAAGGGGAACCACCGCCCGCCCCGGAGCGCGAGAGGUGAGACAGCGCCCAGAUCCACGGCGGCAUCGACGCGCCGUCGUCGACCUGAGCCGCUAUGGUCUCACCCUGCUGUGCUCCUUCCCCUCCACGGCUCCUAGCUCGGGCAACAACAAGCCAUCUCAAGGGAGUGGAUUCUCAAGUCACCCCACUUCCAAUCCAUGGACGCCAUCCACAAGGACCAAGAUGACGACGCGCACAUCCUCCCUCUCCGAGCUGCAGGCACCCUCCGUGGAUGAGGACGACAACCAGGGCAUCCAUGGUCGACAGCUCGAUGGCUCCUCGGAGUACCUUGUUGAACCAACUCUUUGGGACUAA